UGUGGUAUAGCUCAGUGGUAGAGUGGGUGCUUAGAAUGCACAAGGUCGUGGGUUCAACCCCCAAUGCCUCUA
rnacentral:tRNA from 1 species